GCGCCUGUAGCUCAGGGGAUAGAGCAGCGGUUUCCUAAACCGCGGGCCGGAGGUUCAAAUCCUUCCAGGCGCA
rnacentral:tRNA from 1 species